AUUGAACGCUGGCGGCAGGCUUAACACAUGCAAGUCGAGCGAUCGGCGGACGGGUGAGCAAUGUCUGGGAAACUGCCUGAUGGAGGGGGAUAACUACUGGAAAUGGUAGCUAAUACCGCAUACCAUCGGAUGUGCCCAGAUGGGAUUAGCUAGUAGGUGGGGUAACGGCUAACCGAGGCGACGAUCCCUAGCUGGUCUGAGAGGAUGACCAUCCACCCUGGAACUGGGGCACGGUCCAGACUCCUACGAGAGGCAGCAGUUGGGAAUAUUGCACAGUGGGCGCAAGCCUGAUGCAGCCAUGCCGCGUGUAUGAAGAAUGCCUUCAGGUUGUAAAGUACUUUCAGCGGGGGGGCGUUACCCGCAGAAGAAGCACCGGCUAACUCCGUGCCAGCAGCCGCGGUAAUUC
rnacentral:rRNA from 1 species